GCCCUGGUGGCACAAUGGUUAAAUGCUCAGCUGCUAAAUGAAAGGUUGGUAGUUUGAACCUACCCAGGGGCA
rnacentral:tRNA from 1 species